UACGUAGGGGGCAAGCGUUGUCCGGAAUCAUUGGGCGUAAAGAGCGUGUAGGCGGCCCGAUAAGUCCGCUGUGAAAGUCCAGGGCUCAACCCUGGAAUGCCGGUGGAAACUGUUGAGCUUGAGUCCGGAAGAGGCGAGUGGAAUUCCUGGUGUAGCGGUGAAAUGCGCAGAUAUCAGGAGGAAUACCGAUGGCGAAGGCAGGUCUCUGGGCUGACACUGACGCUCAUGCACGAAAGCGUGGGGAGCAAACAGG
rnacentral:rRNA from 1 species